rnacentral:lncRNA from 1 species
UUUCGCUAAAAUUAAUUUGGCUCGUUUAAUUUUCAUAAAAUUUUGUCAAAGUAUGUACUUUGACCCUUUAACAAAAAUAUAAAAAUUUCAAAAAUUUUGAACGAACCGUUUUGUCAGAAAAAUUACACUUGUUAUAUAGCAGUUUGACAAACACUCAUUUUGAUCAUUGAGAAGCUUAAUAUUCCUUCUACAAAACAACGUAAUUAAAACGUUUAGCUGACUUUACAGAGUUAUCUCCCUGUUGUGUUAGGUACCACAUUAAGGA